CCGUAGGUGAACCUGCGGAGGGAUCAUUACCGAGUUUACAACUCCCAAACCCAAUGUGAACGUUACCAAACUGUUGCCUCGGCGGGGUCACGCCCCGGGUGCGUCGCAGCCCCGGAACCAGGCGCCCGCCGGAGGAACCAACCAAACUCUUUCUGUAGUCCCCUCGCGGACGUAUUUCUUACAGCUCUGAGCAAAAAUUCAAAAUGAAUCAAAACUUUCAACAACGGAUCUCUUGGUUCUGGCAUCGAUGAAGAACGCAGCGAAAUGCGAUAAGUAAUGUGAAUUGCAGAAUUCAGUGAAUCAUCGAAUCUUUGAACGCACAUUGCGCCCGCCAGUAUUCUGGCGGGCAUGCCUGUCCGAGCGUCAUUUCAACCCUCGAACCCCUCCGGGGGAUCGGCGUUGGGGAUCGGGACCCCUCACACGGGUGCCGGCCCCGAAAUACAGUGGCGGUCUCGCCGCAGCCUCUCCUGCGCAGUAGUUUGCACAACUCGCACCGGGAGCGCGGCGCGUCCACGUCCGUAAAACACCCAACUUUCUGAAAUGUUGACCUCGGAUCAGGUAGGAAUACCCGCUGAACUUAAGCAUAUCAAUAAAGCGGAGG
rnacentral:rRNA from 1 species